GAUGAACGCUGGCGGCGUGCCUAAUACAUGCAAGUCGAGCGAACAGACGAGGAGCUUGCUCCUCUGACGUUAGCGGCGGACGGGUGAGUAACACGUGGAUAACCUACCUAUAAGACUGGGAUAACUUCGGGAAACCGGAGCUAGUACCGGAUAAUAUAUUGAACCGCAUGGUUCAAUAGUGAAAGACGGUUUUGCUGUCACUUAUAGAUGGAUCCGCGCCGCAUUAGCUAGUUGGUAAGGUAACGGCUUACCAAGGCAACGAUGCGUAGCCGACCUGAGAGGGUGAUCGGCCACACUGGAACUGAGACACGGUCCAGACUCCUACGGGAGGCAGCAGUAGGGAAUCUUCCGCAAUGGGCGAGAGCCCGACGGAGCAACGCCGCGUGAGUGAUGAAGGUCUUCGGAUCGUAAAACUCUGUUAUUAGGGAAGAACAAAUGUGUAAGUAACUAUGCACGUCUUGACGGUACCUAAUCAGAAAGCCACGGCUAACUACGUG
rnacentral:rRNA from 1 species